rnacentral:rRNA from 1 species
CUACGGGGCGCUGCAGCUAAGAAUCUUCCGCAAUGGACGAAAGUCUGACGGAGCGACGCCGCGUGUACGAAGAAGGCCUAACGGUUGUAAAGUACUUUUCUUGUGGAGGAAUAAUGAGUGUAGGGAAUGACACUCAGAUGACGUUAAACUUGGAAUAAGCCCCGGCUAAUUACGUGCCAGCAGCCGCGGUAACACGUAAGGGGCAAGCGUUGUUCGGAUUCAUUGGGCGUAAAGGGCAUGUAGGCGGUAUAGCAAGUCUGGUGUGAAAGAGCUCGGCUUAACCGAGGGACCGCGCUGGAAACUGCUAAACUAGAGUAUAGGAAGGGAAGCUAGAAUUCCUAGUGUAGGGGUGAAAUCUGUAGAUAUUAGGAAGAAUACCGGUGGCGAAGGCGAGCUUCUGGCCAUAUACUGACGCUGAUAUGCGAAAGCGUGGGGAGCGAACAGGAUUAGAUACCCCAGUAGUC